AUUCUGUUGUUGAUUUACUUCUAUGCUUUGGGUCAUUGUCCUGUUGCAAAACCCAUCUUCUGUUGAGCUUCAGCUGGUAGACAGAUGGCCUUAAGUUCUCCUGCAAAAUGUCUUGAUAAACUUGGGAAUUGAUUUUUCCUUCGAUGAUAGCAAUUCGUCCAGUCCCUGAUGCAGCAAAGCAGCUCCAAACCAUGAUGCCCCCACCACCAUACUUCACAGUUGGGAUGAGGUUUUGAUGUUGGUGUGCUGUGCCUUUUUUUCGCCACACAUAGUGUUGUGUGUUUCUUCCAAACAACUCAACUUUCAUCUGUCCACAGAAUAUUUUGCCAGUACUGCUGUGGGACAUCCAGGUGCUCUUGUGCAAACUGUAAACGUGCAGCAAUGUUUUGUUUGGACAGCAAUGGCUUCCUCUGUGGUAUCCUCCCAUGAAAUCCAUUCUUGUUUAGUGUUUUACGUAUUGUAGAUUCGCUAACAGGGAUGUUAGCAUUUGCCAAUGACUUUUGUAAGUCUUUAGCUGACACUGUAGGAUUCUUCUUC